AGAGUUUGAUCCUGGCUCAGGACGAACGCUGGCGGCGUGCCUAACACAUGCAAGUCGAACGGAGAUGUUUAUUUCGGUAGACAUCUUAGUGGCGCACGGGUGAGUAACGCGUGAAUAACCUGACCCGAAGAGGGGGAUAACACCUGGAAACAAGUGCUAAUACCGCAUAAGACCACGGACCGGCAUCGGUCAGAGGUCAAAGGGGGAAUCCGCUUUGGGAGGGGUCCGCGUCCCAUUAGGUAGUUGGUGAGGUAACGGCCCACCAAGCCGACGAUGGGUAGCCGAGCUGAGAGGCUGAUCGGCCACACUGGAACUGAGACACGGUCCAGACUCCUACGGGAGGCAGCAGUGGGGAAUAUUGGGCAAUGGGCGCAAGCCUGACCCAGCAACGCCGCGUGAGGGAAGAAGGUUUUCGGAUUGUAAACCUCUGUCGCAGGGGACGAAGGAAGUGACGGUACCCUGUAAGAAAGCCCCGGCUAACUACGUGCCAGCAGCCGCGGUAAUACGUAGGGGGCGAGCGUUGUCCGGAAUUACUGGGCGUAAAGGGAGCGUAGGCGGUCGAUUAAGUUAGAUGUGAAACCCCCGGGCUUAACUUGGGGACUGCAUCUAAUACUGGUUGACUUAGAGUACAGGAGAGGGAAGCGGAAUUCCUAGUGUAGCGGUGAAAUGCGUAGAUAUUAGGAGAAACACCAGUGGCGAAGGCGGCUUACUGGACUGUAACUGACGUUGAGGCUCGAAAGCGUGGGGAGCAAACAGGAUUAGAUACCCUGGUAGUCCACGCCGUAAACGAUGAUUACUAGGUGUUGGUGGGUACGACCCAUCGGUGCCGCAGCAAACGCAAUAAGUAAUCCACCUGGGGAGUACGUUCGCAAGAAUGAAACUCAAAGGAAUUGACGGGGACCCGCACAAGCGGUGGAGCAUGUGGUUUAAUUCAAAGCAACGCGAAGAACCUUACCUGGUCUUGACAUCCCUAUGAAUAACGGGCAAUGCCGUUAGUACUUCGGUACAUAGGAGACAGGUGGUGCAUGGUUGUCGUCAGCUCGUGUCGUGAGAUGUUGGGUUAAGUCCCGCAACGAGCGCAACCCUUAUCUUUAGUAGCCAGCAGUAAGAUGGGCACUCUAGAGAGACUGCCGGGGAUAACCCGGAGGAAGGUGGGGAUGACGUCAAAUCAUCAUGCCCCUUAUGACCAGGGCUACACACGUGCUACAAUGGCGUAAACAAAGAGAAGCGAAGUCGUGAGGCAGAGCGAAUCUCAAAAAUAACGUCUCAGUUCGGAUUGUAGUCUGCAACUCGACUACAUGAAGCUGGAAUCGCUAGUAAUCGCAGAUCAGAAUGCUGCGGUGAAUACGUUCCCGGGUCUUGUACACACCGCCCGUCACACCAUGGGAGUCGGAAAUGCCCGAAGUCGGUGACCUAACAGAAAGGAAGGAGCCGCCGAAGGCAGGUCUGAUAACUGGGGUGAAGUCGUAACAAGGUA
rnacentral:rRNA from 1 species